rnacentral:tRNA from 1 species
GAGGGUAUAGUUCAGUGGUAGAGAACCUGAUUAGCAAGCAGGAGGUCCUGGGUUCAGUCCCCAGUACUGCCA